rnacentral:rRNA from 1 species
UAUUUGCCUGAGAACUACGGGCCACAGCUUAAAACUCAAAGGACUUGGCGGUACUUUAUAUCCAUCUAGAGGAGCCUGUUCUAUAAUCGAUAAACCCCGUUAUACCUCACCACCCCUUGCUAAUACAGCCUAUAUACCGCCAUCUUCAGCAAACCCUAAAAAGGAGCAAAAGUAAGCAAGAGAAUCACCAUAAAAACGUUAGGUCAAGGUGUAGCCAAUGAGGUGGGAAGCAAUGGGCUACAUUUUCUUAUAAAAAACAUUACGCUACCCUUUAUGAAACUAAAGGACAAAGGAGGAUUUAGUAGUAAAUUAAAAAUAGAGAGCUUAAUUGAAUAGAGCAAUGAAGUACGUACACCCCGCCCG